ncrna:unclassified sequences ivy-DE RNA
GAACCAGGGGGUCGGGUUGUUCUGCUAAAGCGGAGCGACCUAGGGGUACAUGGAGUACCUCCAUAACGGACCGGGUUCUGCGAGGC